AUAGUGUAGCGAUAAGUUUAGUAUUGCUAUGGCAUCUGUGUAUCGUCCAUUGAAGUUGGAGUGAUUUUCAGCAAUAAGAAAAUUGACAACAAAUGCAAGCAUUAGGAGAAAUUUUUAGUUUUGGAAAGAGCUGUUUAUGAGAAAAGAUAUGAGUUCAUUAUAAACAUAGCAGCAAAUUUAUGAAAAACAUUGGGAACACAGAAAAAUUAUGGAAUGCAUUGGAAGUUGUCAAGUCAACAAAUGUAAACAGUUUUGAGA
rnacentral:lncRNA from 1 species